rnacentral:lncRNA from 1 species
UUAAAAAUUGUUGAUUUUGAACCCUUUCGAUCGCCUAGGAAAAUAGAUACCGAAGAAUCACAAAAAUUAUUUUCUAGAUAGUUCAAAUACGCUAGAUCAAGUCUAACGAGCGAUUCGUCGAUUCAAGCUCCAUCAUCGAAAACUGUUAGGAGCACGGAGACCUCCGUGUCCUAAUUAGCACGAAAGACCUCUCUCUCUCUCUCUCUCUAUAUAUAUAUGUAGAGAGAAGAGAAGAGAAGAGGAGGAGGAGGACGAGAGAGGAGAUGGAGAGAGCGAGAGAGGCUCUUUUGCUUUCGAAAGUACGGAUGCUUCCAUUCUUGUAAGUUGUUUUCGAUGAUGGGACAUCGGAUUCGGCGAUCGGUUUUGUUAAACAUGAUCUAAGCUAUUAAAACUAUCUAAAGACCAAAUUUUAUAAUUUUUUGAUUUUGUUUGUCUAGUAAACGAGUAGCUUCAAAAUGAACGAUUGAAAAUAAAAAUUUCAUAAAAAAUAGUGAUAAAUGACUCAAAUUUCAAAUCGAAAAUAUUAAGCUCGCUAUUGAUAUUAAGUAGAAUUUUCUAUUAAAUUUUUAUAUAAUUUGGAUAUCUCUACACAGUUGAACUUAAAAAUGUGUCACAUCGGCCAUUAAAAUAGUCAUUUUUGAAACUUUUUGAUCGCUUGGUAAAUGAUUUCAAAAAAUUAUAAAAUUUUGUUUCUAGAUAAUUUCAAUAGGAUAGAUUAUACUUAACAGAGCCAAUCGUCGAAUCAGAUAUCCUAUCAUCGAAAAUAACUUAUAAGUACGGAGAUCUCCGUACUUUUGAAAGUACGGAAGACGUACUAUAUAUAUAUAUAUAAUCUAGUAACUUAAACUAUAAUAUGUAAUAUGUUGUUCGUGCCGUAUCGCUCAAUCCACAAUUAAACAAAUAUCGAACAAACUACAUUGAAGUAACUAAACUAUGUGAGAACCGAACAAAACUGGUCAAAAAAUUAAGGGAGAUUGAGCGAGAAAGUUAGAUGAAAAAAAUAACAUAUUUGUUUCCGUACGUAAUAUUACGUUUCGUAUAUCAUAAUGAAUCGGUAUGAUAUAUGCUUUACGGUUUCACCGGAGAACAUAAAAAUAUAUUCUUAUAUGUUUUUUGUUCCAACUCUCAACUCUAUUUUAUCUAAUAGUAUUAGAUAUGUCUUAAUAUCAGACUAAGGCUUUAUGUAGAAUUCUAGUUUAUAUCUACCAUAGAUGUUCUUUGUUUUUGUUUUUGUAAAAGAUAAUAUGAAACUUAUAUUUUGCGAUUUUUUCGAAUAUGACAAUACUGGAUAUAUUUUUCAAAAGAUCCUUACCUAAUCCAUCUAACCUCAUUUGCGAUUUUGACUCGUAUCAAAACCAUGAUUCGACAUUUAUUGAUACUAAAAGAAUCCAUCGGUUCAAUUAUUGAUUUAAAUUUGAACCAAAUGUGGUAUCUUCACCAGGUGGUGCUUUUACUCCAAACAAAUGUGCACAUAAUUAAUAUUCAAAUUAAUUUCCACAUUAAUUAGAGUAUGCAACUUUAUGGAUUAGAUUCCAAUGGGUUGGUCCAAAUUAGAAGAGAAUGAAUCUAUGCUUCUUCUUCUUGUUCUUCUUUUUUUUUCUUUUUUUCUUUCCUUAAAAUGGCUAAUAACCCAAUCACACACUCGUCCCCUCCCUCUGAAAACUCCGCUUUAAAUUUUGCACCUGACGCUUGGCACGUGCGCCACAUCAUGCACACGUGAGUGUGCAAAUGAGGCUUUUAUGUUUUAUCAUUAUUAUUAUCUCUGUCUCUAUUAUUGUUAUUUUGUGCAUCUAAUUCUAAUAAUAAUAAUAAUAAAGAUGAAUGCACCUGGAGCUAGUCAACGUGUUUGCUUUUCUUUUAAUGAGUAUUCUUUUUAUAAACAAACAAAAAUUAUUAUAAAAUUUAUAGCUUCUUUAGUUAUUGAUCGUUAAUUAUCAUUGCGGCCCGUUAAUUUAUUGACUAUAAAUAAUUCUGAAUAAAUCAAAACUUAAAAUUUUAAUAGAAUUUGCGAAAACUAAGUCUUUUAUAAAAUACCAUGAUGGUAAUCUCUUGGCAUCUAAAUGAUACAAAUAAGCUAUUUAAGUUCGUAAUUUAACUUUUCUCCAUCAAUUGAAUAAAAGCUUUUGUUAAAACAUCUUUAGGUCAUAUUUCAUAUUGUUGCUGCUAUUAAUAUUUUAAAAUAGAACUUUUGGCUAAAAUAGCUUAGAAGAAGAUGACGAAUUAUUUGUUUAAGGAUAAAUAUUUUUACUUUCAAAGAAUUUUUUUUAAAAAAUGUUAUUUAUUAUUUGGCUGAAAAAAAUAUAUCACAAGCUCACCAAUCACGACAAUGAAAAUAAUCUUUCUACAGUACAUCAAACUAAUUAAAAUUAGCAUUUAAUAAAUAAAAAUGUGACAACGAAUGUCGAAUGAGGCCUUAGUUAACAGCUACUAAUUUCAUCUGCUAAAAUGCAAGCAAAACCCUUAAAUAUAACAAAAUUCCUCUGCAAAGGACAAGAGAAUUAUCAAUAGAACAAACUNUUUUUUUUUUUUUUUUUUUUUUUUUUUUUUUUUUUUUUUUUUUUUUUUUUUUUCCAACUCUCAGAACCCCACAAACAAAUAUUUUUAUUAGGAUAUUUGAUAGUAAGUUGAUUUAGGAUGGGGUGGAGUUUAAUGGGGCCUACAGAUAAUGAUUAAAAAAAAGUAAAAAUAUAUACAAUUUAGCUUAUUUAUGAAUUAAUUUUGAACCAGUUAUCCGACUUUUCAAAAUUUUAAUUUUACUAUUCAACAUUUCAAUUUAUUUAAUUUAAAUUAAUUAAAUAAUAUUUUGACUCUAAAAUUUAAAUAUACUAUUUAUUUUUACAAUCUUAGUUAGCAAAUUUUAUAAACUCUCGUAACUAUAAAUUGUUUAUUCAAAUAAUUAACUUAAAUUUUAAAAUCAAAUUGCGCUAAUGUCUGACUCUAUAAGAUAAAUUAGAAAUUAGAUAAUAAAAUUUGUAGAGAUUAGAUAAUCGGUUCAAAAUAUUUAAUAGUAGUGUAAAUUAAUAAGUGAGGAGCAUUUGUCCUGUUCACUUCGAUUUAAGAACAGGGUUCGUGGUGGGAUCAUGAUCCACACAGUAAAAGUUUUUAAAUGGGAGUUAAUUUUUAUUUUUAUUUUUAUUUUUUUUUAAAGAUAGUACCAACACCCAUGUGUUGUGUGCACCUGUGUGUAUUGUCAUUGUUAUUAUUAUUACACAUGCAUACGCUCACUCACACGGUCCCUGGUAAAAGCUGGAGAAAAGGACAGGUCUAAAGAGAUUUUAAAAACUUUUAAAAAGUAUUUGUGUAACAAAUUUAAGAGUUUUUUUUUAAAAAAAUAUGGCAUUUUUACUGCUAUUUGAUUUUGCUUUGUCUUUUAUGAGAUCCUGUUUUGAAAUGAAAUAGUAAAAUACUAUAUUUUAUGGAGACAAUUUCAUUAAUAUUAACACUUAUUAUAAAUUUAUAAAUUAUAUGAUAGUUAAUUUUUUUUCAUCAAAUAUAAAAUAAUAUAUUUGCCCUUCGCUAUAACUAGCUAUUAUAUAAUUUAUAACUUGUAAUGCAACUCACUAUCACUUUAUGACAAUUAUUUUUGGGGUUCAAAUUUUUGGUGCUUAUUUCAAUUGAUAAAGUCUUCUUUCUUUUUAAUUUAUUUUUUAUUAAUCGAAGGGGUAUUAUUAGUGAUAAUUAAUUAACAGAAAGAGAAAAACUAAAAUUUAGUCAUAUUUUGAGUAGAAUGAUGAAUAAUUUUGAUCACUUUGAUAGAUUUAAAGUUUUAAAAUUCUCUGAUCGUAAUUAGGGACGGACAAAAUGGUGCUUAUAAUAAGAUUAACCCUAUACUUUGCAAAUCUAUAAUUUAAUUAUUUUUAUUAGACUAACUUUUGUGCUUCUUCCUUAAAUACCAUAUGAAAUAUAUAAAACAGCCACAACCCUCAAAAAAAUGUAAACUAUCAAAAUAUAACAUUUUUAAAUUUGUAAUAUUUUUUUAAAAAAAUUACUAAUCUGAAAAAAAAUAAAAAUAAAAAAGCCAACAUUGUGCCCCAUGACAGGGUAAAAAAAUAAAUAAAUAAAAUUUCAGAAGGACAGCACGGACCCAUGACAGUGAGUUUAAAGAUUUUGCAAUCUAAGAGGAAAACUCACCCUCUCCAUGAUUUUUAUGCAUGAUAUUAGUGCCUAGACCUGGUCCACCAUAUUAUCAACAACAACAACAACAAAAAUCAUAUAAUUUAUUUAAACAUCUUGCACUAAAAUUGAAGCGUAAUUUUACAUGCUCUGCAGUAUCUACAAAUUGUACAAAAGCUCGUAUAGAUCGUCGAAUAGUUGGAAAAUAUAGAUUUUAUAUUCCACAAACAGAGAAAACAAUUAUAUUUACGUGUAAAGUAAAAAAGAAAAAACAGAUGCUAUAAAAAUGUAUAAAACUUAUUUAUUAACUAUCAUCCAUUUUUAUCCGACUAUAUGACUUUUAAAAUUUUGAUUUUAUCACUCGGACUUUUAGUUUACUUAAUUUGAGCCCGUUAGUGACCUGUUAAUUUAAAAUUUAAGUGUGUCAUUUAUUUUUACAAGUUAAAUAAUAUAUUUUAUACAAUUUAUGUAAUUAUAAACUAAUUAAUAAUAGUAAUUAGCUUAAAUUUUAUAUCCGAAGAGCCAUCAAAUUAUUUAAAUUACGUAAAUUAAAAGAUUGAAUACUAAAAUUUGAAUUUUAAAAGACCAAAUAAUUGAAUCAAAUUGGUAUACAGUUGAAAUAAAUUUUAUACCUUUUUACCAAAAGAUAAUAAGAGAAAAUAAAAGUUACACUCAAUAAACGACGAACGUUGCCGUUCCACGGGCAUGUUACUGUAAUUAUAAAUCCAUUAAAAAUUGAUCAAAUAGGUAACGAACGGAGCAGAACUAGUAUUAGAUAUUGAUUUGUAUCGAUAGUAGAUUACAUCAAACUUUUCACAUUUUAUUGAUAUCUCGAUCGUGGACCAGGUUCGCGCAAUAGCGACUUGGAGAGCGACUUGGGUCAAUCAGAUACCAUUCAAGUCGCUUUUACUUGGCUAUUUCACAGAACAUGAUCAAACCCAAGUCACAUUAAAAAAAAAAAAAAAAAAACAAACAAACAAGUCUCUGGCUCUCCUUUUUAUUUAGAAUAUUAUUUAUAAGAGAUUAUAAUACGGUUCAUACAUAAUGAAAUACGCUAGUGUGGUGUGUGAAUUGUGAUUUGUGACACAAAUGAAAAAGAAAAUAAUUAGAUAAUUGAUCUAACAUGAUUAGAAUAUUGUUAUCAUCAUCAUCAUCAUCAUCAUCAUCAUCAUCAUCAUCAUCAACAUCCUGAAAGGGCAAUGAAACAUCUACACGAGAGAGAGAGACACGAGCGCAGCUAAAUGAGAUGGACAAAAACAAUAUAAAUAAAUAAACAAAAAAAGAAAAGGAGAGAGAGAGAGAGAGUGGGUGGGUCCGAGAUGGCUGUACCCCGAUAUGAUGCUCCGAAAAAAGGUUUUAAAAAAAUAAAUAAAUAAAAAUAUAGCACGCUAUCCGUUUUGUUUAUUUUAUUUAGAAAUAAAUUUAGCUAGAAAUGUGAAUCAAUUAGAAUUCGAACUUAAGUCUCGGGUACUAAUCACCAAGCCCUUUGCCACUUAUUCUAUGGACGGUCAGUGAAAAAAUUAAUUUUAUCAGUGGAGCAAGUGUGGAUGAGGGGAAAAAAAAAAAUCAUGCAGGUAACUCCUGAGUUAAGCUAGAAUAUUAUUACGAAGUUUUUCGUACUUUUAAAUUAUUUUUAAUGUUAAAUUAUUUGAAUUAAAUAUCAGUUCUAUUAGAUUUGAUUUAACAUAUUUUAGAUAUUUAAAAAACAAAUUUUGUGGUUUUUGAUAUUAUUUGUUUAGUGAUCGAAAGGGCCCAAAAUUAAUAAUUUUAAUAAUUGUGUUUAGCCGUUUGCAAGUUUAACGGUGUAGAAAUAUUCAAAUUACGUAAAAUUUUGAUAGAAAGUUUUUUUAUACUAUAUAAAAUAAGAUAAAUAUUUUUGAUGUAAAAUUUUAAUGUCAUAUCAUCAAAUUUUGUAAAAUUUUUAUUUUUAUUCAUUGAUUUUGAGCCCUGAUGACUAGGUAAAUGAUAUCGAAAAAUUGUAAAAUUUAUUUUUUAGAUAUUUUAAAUACUUUAGAUCAAGUAUUACGGAGUCGAUCAUCGAUUCGAAAGUUUCAAAUCGAAAAGAACUCGAAAGCACAGAAACCUCUGUGCUUCUGAAACCAUACUAACCUAACUUGAUAACUCCUUCAAUUAUA